UUAGAGAACCCCAUUCAUACGUAAAGGUUGUUUACAAGAUGCCAAGAUCUAUUCGCAUUACCUAUGCUAAUCAAAAGCGCCAAUGAGGUAUGGAGUUGAAGAUAGUAACUAGCAACAGCCAUACAGUUCGAGAAGGAAUGUUCCAUGAGUCUUUCAAGUGGAACUUAAGCCUUUAGUGUUUGACCUCUCUAGUUUCUCUCUCUAACGCGUGCGACGCGGGCGCUUACCGCCGAUGGCCCCAGCAUCCACCGCUGACAACCACUCCGGCCCCGGCGUCCACCGCCUCGCACCGCUGGAGACCACCUAGGUCCCGGCGGCCACACAAACGUCUCCACGGUAGUUGCAGAUUCGAAUGGAGGGAUUUGAAUCUGAGAAGGGUCGCGAAGGGAAAGAAGAGCUAGAUCCGGCCCUUCCCCACUUGCGGCUGCGGCCAUUGCAGCCCAGGUUGCAUCUUUGGUGGCGGGGACCUCCUUCCCACCACGGUCGCCCCCACGCGCCACCUCAUCCCCGCUGAAUCCCUCGGCCCCCCUAUCUGCGGCGGCUUGAGGGACCAUCAGGGGAGACCCCCGACUGGCUCAGGUAUAGUGCCUCGUCUUCCUCCUCGUCUGAUGGCUAAGAUUCUUCGCCAAGGUCCCCACGCCGUCGCUCGGCGGAAGGGGAAGGCGACUGCCAUGGACAUCUCGCCGGCACCUUCAUCCCGCCAGGGCCCUCCCUUUGGUGGCCUCAUGGCUGAUGUCCGGAGGGGAUAGGACUCCGCUGCACGCGGCCUGGCUGGCCAGUCAAGCUUGAGGCUUCCGCAGGAGCAUGAGUGGGUCGCCGCCGCCAUCGCCCGCUCCUCAGGUCGUGAUUCGGAGAUUCCCACUGCCGACCGUGAUGGAGAUGGCUGGGUGGAGGUUCGUCGCCAUCGGAACCAGCACCGAGAGCAUCCUGCUCAGCGUCCCGUUCCUCGAUCCCCGCCGACCUGGUAGGCCGCUGUUUCAAUUGUCUCACCACCGACCAUGUCGCAGCCGUCUGCAGAAAUCUGUCAUGUUGUAUGCACUGCUGGUGGGAGGGGCACAGGUCGCGGCAAUGCAGGAAAGGUCGCUCUAUGCUACCACCUCGAGGUCGCUCACCGCCUCCACCGCAUCGAGCUCUGGUGACGACUGCAGCUCAGCAUCAACAUUGGGCCAGACGGACACAGUCAACAUCUUAUGACGCUACAAGGUCUGCACAUUCCCAAUCCAUGGGCCCCUCCUGUUACCCUCCUGCAAUUCGUGUUCCUCCCUCGCCGAGCUGUGAUGACAUGUCCAUUCCUUCCUCACCGCCAUCGCCAAGGCUUUGUGGCGACCUGUCGUGCCGCUCGGCCAAAGAGAUACGUGUGAUUCCCAGGUCGCAGAUGAUUAAUGACAGUGAUUCGUGCCUGUCAGCUUGUGCGCUAGUUCUGAUGAUUGGAGGCAACCGACCGAAGGUGUCCACACUGCAAGUUGGAUUGGUCCUGGAAGAGUUCCUCAACCUGCUCCUGGAAGAUUACAACAUUCAGCGCUCUAAACCUGAGGAUUUCUUGGUAGAAUUCAGCAUGCCAAGUAUUGCAGAAAGGAUCUUGCACUCCCACCUGCCACCAGAAGCUCAAAUUCAGCUCAUAUGGAGAAGAUGGCACCGUCAAUCCAUGGUGAGCCUGGCAUCCUUGCGAUUCAGAGUGCUAAUCGAACUAAAGGGAAUUCCUGCUCAUGCACGAAAUGUAAACACAGCACAGACCAUACUAGGCACUGCUUGUGCUGAACUGGUAGAAGCUCCGGUGCAAGUUGACAAGAACAACAACAACGCCAUCCUCUAUGUGGCCUGCUAGUGCAUGCACCCCGACCUAGUUCCGCUGGAGAAGCUGAUUUUCAUCCCAGAGCCUCCACUGCCAUACAUCGAAUGUGAUUUGUUCUUGAAGCACCAUGAACUAAUCCACUCUAAGCAGGAUGGUCUCUAGUAUGUAAUACAUAUCAGAAUAGUUGAGGUGCAGGACUGGAGCCUACCUAGUGAUUCAUCAAAUGAAGAAAUCCCACCAGAUACCUAUGGGAGUUCUGGUGAUGAGGAUUACCUAGGUUUCACGCAGCAUAACAGAAGUAACCCCUGGCCAAAGAAAACAAGGUUUGCAAACAAGCAGGGUGGCUCUGGCGGAGGACCCUCACUUGGUACUGGUUGGGGACCACCUUCUGCAUCAGCGGCGGUGGCUCCCUCAACAAGGGCCUGGCCCCUAUCCACGCCUUCGAGAGUUGGUCGCCACAAGCAAGGCAAAGGCCCAACGGGGCCGACAGAGCAUAUACCGUCUGUCACCCCAUGCGUUGUUUCUGGAAAAGGGUAGGAAGAUGGGUUGCUUGAUGCAAUGAUGCAGAUGGAGAUCAUUAAACCCUCUGGAGACUUGGUAGGCGACCCCAUGGCACUGGAGGCGGACCAGGCUUACAGAACCCAUACCCUCACCGUGAGCUUUGCACCUAGACAUAACAUAGCCACCACAAAUCCUGGGGAUACCUUCUCACUGAGGGGAUCACCCCAUGCUUUUAACCCAAUAAGAAUGGAGACGGAACUGAGCCUACAACCACUGGAGUCAUUACCGUCGCUGGUGCUUGACAGUGGGUUGAUUUUCAAACCAAGUCUGAUGCUGGGAAAAGCGGAGGGGCUGAACCAUGGGGUUCAACCAACCCUCUAGUCUGAAGCAGAGGUAGCUGUUGAUACAUCACUCCAGCCACCAAGUCCUCACCACAACAUCGACCACGGGUUGAUAAAUCUUGAAGUGGGUGGGGUUGCCAGUUGCACUUCAGUUAGCUCCUCUGAGAAGAAAAGCACGCACACCACCAAUGUCAACUCUAGCAAUCAAGAGAAGCGAGAGGCUCACCAAGAAGUCGUGUUAUCGGGCCACCAAGCCAACCCUUCAGGUACAGAACGUGCUAAUGAAGAAACUGGGCAUCUCCUCCAGGAUUGGGCCGCUGGAUGUCGCAGCCUUCACGCACUUCCUGAAAUUCUUCACCGCCACUCUCUCGGUCUCCCAGUGUGAAGCUCUUGAUGAGUUGAUCCCAGAUGGUGGGUUGUUGUUCAUGACGGCGGUCGCUAACAUUGAGCCUUGAGCUCCAUGGUUGCUUCACCCCUUGUAAGUCUGGGUGGUGUCCAAUCCGCUUCUUCGUGAGAACUCUUUAACAGCUAGGGUGAAACUCCUCUCAUCAGGCGAAGACUGGUGGCUAA